AUUGAACGCUGGCGGCAGGCUUAAUACAUGCAAGUCGAGCGCGUGAAGCUUUCUGAAGCCUUCGGGCGGACGAAAGCGGAUCGAGCGGCGGACGGGUGAGUAACACGUAGGCAACCUGCCUGUAAGACCGGGAUAACUCCGGGAAACCGGGGCUAAUACCGGAUAAGAUCUUUCUCCGCAUGGAGGGAGAUUGAAAGGAUGGCCGCAAGGCGAUCGCUUACAGAUGGGCCUGCGGCGCAUUAGCUGGUUGGUGAGGUAACGGCCCACCAAGGCGACGAUGCGUAGCCGGCCUGAGAGGGUGACCGGCCACACUGGGACUGAGACACGGCCCAG
rnacentral:rRNA from 1 species